CAAAGUAAAGCUUAAUUAGUUAAGCAUCUCACUUACGUUGAGAAGAUUAUUGUGCAAAUCAAUGUACUUUGA
rnacentral:tRNA from 1 species